GACGAACGCUGGCGGCGCGCCUAACACAUGCAAGUCGAACGGAGCUUAGAGAGCUUGCUUUUUAAGCUUAGUGGCGAACGGGUGAGUAACGCGUGAGUAACCUGCCCUAGAGUGGGGGACAACAGUUGGAAACGACUGCUAAUACCGCAUAAGCCCACGGUGCCGCAUGACACUGAGGGAAAAGGAUUUAUUCGCUUUAGGAUGGACUCGCGUCCAAUUAGCUAGUUGGUGAGGUAACGGCCCACCAAGGCGACGAUUGGUAGCCGGACUGAGAGGUUGAACGGCCACAUUGGGACUGAGACACGGCCCAGACUCCUACGGGAGGCAGCAGUGGGGGAUAUUGCACAAUGGGGGAAACCCUGAUGCAGCGACGCCGCGUGGAGGAAGAAGGUUUUCGGAUUGUAAACUCCUGUCGUUAGGGACGAUAAUGACGGUACCUAACAAGAAAGCACCGGCUAACUACGUGCCAGCAGCCGCGGUAAAACGUAGGGUGCAAGCGUUGUCCGGAAUUACUGGGUGUAAAGGGAGCGCAGGCGGGAAGACAAGUUGGAAGUGAAAACCAUGGGCUCAACCCAUGAAUUGCUUUCAAAACUGUUUUUCUUGAGUAGUGCAGAGGUAGAUGGAAUUCCCGGUGUAGCGGUGGAAUGCGUAGAUAUCGGGAGGAACACCAGUGGCGAAGGCGGUCUACUGGGCACCAACUGACGCUGAGGCUCGAAAGCAUGGGUAGCAAACAGGAUUAGAUACCCUGGUAGUCCAUGCCGUAAAACGAGAUUACUAGGGUUGGGGGGUUGACCCCCUCAGUGCCGCAGUUAACACAAUAAGUAAUCCACCUGGGGAGUACGACCGCAAGGUUGAAACUCAAAGGAAUUGACGGGGGCCCGCACAAGCAGUGGAGUAUGUGGUUUAAUUCGAAGCAACGCGAAGAACCUUACCAGGUCUUGACAUCCAACUAACGAAGUAGAGAUACAUUAGGUGCCCUUCGGGGAAAGUUGAGACAGGUGGUGCAUGGUUGUCGUCAGCUCGUGCCGUGAGAUGUUGGGUUAAGUCCCGCAACGAGCGCAACCCUUAUUGCCAGUUACUACGUUAAGAGGACUCUGGCGAGACUGCCGUUGACAAAACGGAGGAAGGUGGGGAUGACGUCAAAUCAUCAUGCCCUUUAUGACCUUGGCUACACACGUACUACAAUGGCGUUAAACAAAGAGAAGCAAGACCGCGAGGUGUAGCAAAACUCAAAAACAACGUCUCAGUUCAGAUUGCAGGCUGCAACUCGCCUGCAUGAAGUCGGAAUUGCUAGUAAUCGCGGAUCAGCAUGCCGCGGUGAAUACGUUCCCGGGCCUUGUAC
rnacentral:rRNA from 1 species